CAGCACGUGCAAGCACAAGCCAAAUUAUGGUGAAGCCGCGAAUGGCUCAUUACAACAGCUAUUGUUUAUUGGAUUUGAUGUUCACUUGGAUAACUGUGGUAAUUCUAGAGCUAAUACAUGAAACCUAGCUUUAGCCGCAAGGUUAGAGCGCAAUUAUUAGACUAAAACCAACCAGCUUUAGCUGAUACCUGGUGAAUCUGAAUAAACCUGCUUAUUGCGUAGUCAAAGCACUGGCGAAGCAUCUUUCAAGUGUCUGCCUUAUCAACUGUUGAUGGUAGUUUACAUGCCUACCAUGGUUAUAACGGGUAACGGAGAAUAAGGGUUUGACUCCGGAGAGGGAGCCUGAGAAAUGGCUACCACAUCCAAGGAAGGCAGCAGGCGCGCAAAUUACCCAAUCUCAGAACGAGGAGGUAGUGACAAAAAAUAAUGAGAUGAGUCUCUUUGAGGUUCAUCAUCAAAAUGGGUACAAUUUAAACCCUUUAAUGAGGAACAAUUGGAGGGCAAGUCUGGUGCCAGCAGCCGCGGUAAUUCCAGCUCCAAUAGCGUAUAUUAAAGUUGUUGCAGUUAAAAAGCUCGUAGUUGGAUCUAUGGUCUUGGAAACUUGUCCCCUACUGGGUGUGACUUGAUUUUCAGCCGUAAACAGCCGGUUAUUUGCAAGUCCUCUUCAUUGAGUGCUUGUAGAAACUGGUGCUUUUACUUUGAAAAAAUUAGAGUGCUCAAAGCAGGCGAAUGCCUGAAUAGUGGUGCAUGGAAUAAUAGAAUAGGACCUUUAUCCUAUUUUGUUGGUUUCUGGAAAAAGGUAAUGAUUAAGAGAAACAAAUGGGGGCAUUCGUAUUGCGACGUUAGAGGUGAAAUUCUUGGAUCGUCGCAAGAUGAACAAUUGCGAAAGCAUUUGCCAAGAAUGUCUUCAUUAAUCAAGAACGAAAGUUAGAGGUUCGAAGGCGAUCAGAUACCGCCCUAGUUCUAACCGUAAACGAUGCCAUCUAGCGAUCCACUGGCGUUAUUUUUUGACUCAGUGGGCAGCUUUCCGGAAACGAAAGUUUACCGGUUCUGGGGGAAGUAUAGUUGCAAAUCUGAAACUUAAAGGAAUUGACGGAGGGGCACCACCAGGAGUGGAGCCUGCGGCUUAAUUUGACUCAACACGGGAAAACUCACCCGGCCCAGACACUGUAAGGAUUGACAGAUUAAAAGCUCUUUCUUAAUUCAGUGGGUGGUGGUGCAUGGCCGUUCUUAGUUGGUGGAGUGAUUUGUCUGGUUAAUUCCGAUAACGAACGAGACUCUAGCCUACUAAAUAGUGAGUAGAUUUUUAGUCUAUGACACUUCUUAGAGGGACAAGUGACUUCUAGUCACACGAAAUUGAGCAAUAACAGGUCUGUGAUGCCCUUAGAUGUCUGGGGCUGCACGCGCGCUACACUGAAGGAGUCAGCAUGUACAGUAACCUUAUUCGAAAGAAUUGGGUAACCCUUUGAAACUCUUUCAUGAUUGGGAUAGGGAAUUGUAAUUAUUUCCCUUGAACGAGGAAUUCCCAGUAAGUAUGGGUCAUAAACUCAUGCUGAUUACGUCCCUGCCCUUUGUACACACCGCCCGUCGCUACUACCGAUUGGACGAUCUUAUGAGGUGUUUGGACAUGGCUGCAAGCAGCCAUCUGGCUAUUUGUGAGCUGCAGAAUUUCAUCAAAUAGGUUCGUCUAGAGGAAGUAAAAGUCU
rnacentral:rRNA from 1 species